UUAAUUAGAGUCGUCCACUUUCGGACUAUUGUGACAAGUUGGAAGAAUCUAUUUUACCAAUACCGCAUGCUUCAAUUGGCACUUGAGUUGAGAGAGUUAUAGCUUCUUAUAUCUUCAGGUGGGUCUUUCCAUAACCUCUCUGCUGUAUCUGUACAAGGUGGAUUACUACACAUGAUUCCAUAUCUACCAAGAAAGCGUGGAUCUUAUCUCCCUGCUCGGGCUUCCAAGGAUGUCCCUUACAGUUUUCGGUUCCCUCCAAUGACAAAAAAGCCAAGGUGGUGGUGGAGGACGCUAGCAUGCCUCCCUUAUUUGAUGCCUUUCCAUGAAACCUGGAUGUAUGCUCAGACAGCAUAUAACUUGCACCCCUUCAUUGAACAGUUUGAGUAUCUUACAUACCCGUUCCUCAGAGCUAUUGGUAGCUUGCCAGGCUGGUUCUUGAUGGCCUAUUUCUUCUGCGCCUAUCUUGGAGUUGUCAGGAGAAAGGAAUGGCCACAUUUCUUCAGAUUUCAUGUGGUGACAGGAAUGUUGCUCGAGAUUGCCCUGCAGGUGGUUGGAACGGUGAGCCGUUGGAUGCCACAAGGUUUAUACUGGGGGAAGCUUGGGAUGCACUUUUGGACGGCCCUGGCAUUUGCUCACCUUUUCACUGUCCUCGAAUGCAUAAGGUGUGCUAUCUGUGGUAUGUACGCUGAUGUCCCUUUUGUCUCUGAUGCUGCAUACAUUCAGAUUCCAUAUGACUAAUGAGUAGCAAGCACAGCAGUAGCAGUGCAUUAUUUGUCUUUUUCAUUGUUGUAAUGUUUCCUUACUCUCGUACAAGUGUGUUGGUCGGAAACAUUUGAAGCAGAAACGAAUUGCUCUAAUAUGUCAAAUGCAAGUCCCUUGUCAAGUUACCAGAUUUGUUUGCUUGUAUUGUAUUAGACAAUUAAACAUCUCAAUGAUAGUGGCUAGAGUCUUUGUCGAUGCCAUGCUUUAGAUGAGUACAUUUCAAUGAUAGUGUUUCUGAAACUAUUAAAUAUUGAACCUUUUGUAAGUUAAGAUGAGUUCUACCCAAAAGUUGUAACAAUUGAUGAUAUAAGAGCUAAUAAGAGCUAGCGGCAGAGCUAGAAAAUUGACCGACGUGGUUCGAAAUUUGUAACAUGAAAAAGUAAACCAAAUAACUAAAAAAUCAACUCUAAGGUGAUUAAGAAAGUGGAUGACCAGUCUACUUCUAAAGCGGCAGAGUGGAUAAGGCAAUCAUCCAAACCUUUGAUCCAAAGGGAGGAUGCACUAACUCUACUUCUCCAUUGCCAUCCAAACCUUUACUUAAAAGGAGAGGACACGCUGACUCAACAAGAGGCUAUAAACCUGCUGCCCUGUUUACUGCUAGAUUCCCGUGUUGGUUGGCUGAGUUUUGUUUUGAUAGCGAGCUUGGUAAAUUUUGGCUAGUCGGGAAGUGUGACAUCCUGAUUUGAGUUCUUCACAGUUGAUUCACAUUUUUCUUCGAUGAACAUUCAAUUAUAUUACAUGGAUGCUGAGUUUGAUCAAUGAGUUCAAAUUGAGCAUUCAAUUGUAUUCGAUCCACUUGGAUGAACCUAGUUUACGCUUCUAACAAUCUGGCUGAUAUCACCAAUCCAAUUCGUGACCUGCCAACUUCAGCUCGUAUUUAAGAAACCCGAGUUUACUUUUUGAUCAGUCUCCCCAAGAAGCAUAUGCUUGCCCCUGUGCAAAUCCAUCGCUCUCUACCCUUGAUGGUUAGGCAUGACAAUUCGGUCGAAAUCGAUUAUUCACUUUCGAUUUUCGAUUUUGGUCGAAUUCGAAUUCAGGAAAAAUCAUUAUCGAUUUCGGUUUUUCGAAUUUGAAUUCAAUUCGAAAUUGGUUACUUGCCCUAAUCGAAAAUCUGACCGAUAUGGUAGAUCCAAAUCUCAAACUUACCGAUCUGGAAAAUUCCUCCAAGCCACGUCGCCUAUUUGUCGGCCUUCAUCCCCAACCUUCUUCUGAGUCCAAGCCGCGUCGUCCGUCAAGAAGUGGGUCGACCUUCUUCCCAGCCGUCAUCGGAUCUCAAGCCAUCGCCAUGGAUUUCUAAGGCCAUGGAUUCACAAAGAAUAAAACUAGAAGAUAGAAGAAACGAGAUGAUGAAUCGAGAUCUUAGGUUGACAAGAUUUGACAAGAUGAAGUGACGGCUAGAUCUAAAUGAACCGAAGAUCUUGUCGGAGUUGAGAUUGGAGCAAGCGGCGGCAACAUGACGAGGGUACUAGUGGCAACGGUGGUCGAGAAAGAGGAAUGGGAGUUCGAUCGAAGGGGAAGGAACGAGAAUUAGGGUUGGACUGCAAUCUGCUGUCUGCAAGCUCGAUCAAAGGACGAAGGGAAAGCCCAAGGCCUCCUUUGGUAUGGAGUAAUGAAGAGUGGGGGAAAAGUAGAAAAAGGGAAUUGAGGAAUCAGAGAUUGUGUAAUUUCAAUUACAUUGUUUGGUGACAAAGUUUGCAAUUGAAAUACAAUUUUCAAUUUGUUAGGGAUUAAUUGUGCAAUGACCACGAUGCCCUUAUUUGAAAUCCAAUUUCAAGACCCAUCAUCUUCUAGUUAGCAAAAAUUCGUUUAAUACUCGUAUAAUACACAUAUACGUACUAUAUGCGUUUAGAACUUCCGUUCUCGUACUAUUGUAGAGCCGUUUAAUUUUAAAAUUUUAAUAUUUU
rnacentral:lncRNA from 1 species